rnacentral:rRNA from 1 species
GAUGAACGUUGGCGGCGUGCCUAAUACAUGCAAGUCGAGCGAACAGACGAGGAGCUUGCUCCUCUGACGUUAGCGGCGGACGGGUGAGUAACACGUGGAUAACCUACCUAUAAGACUGGGAUAACUUCGGGAAACCGGAGCUAAUACCGGAUAACAUGUUGAACCGCAUGGUUCAACAGUGAAAGACGGUUUUGCUGUCACUUAUAGAUGGAUCCGCGUCGCAUUAGCUAGUUGGUAAGGUAACGGCUUACCAAGGCAACGAUGCGUAGCCGACCUGAGAGGGUGAUCGGCCACACUGGAACUGAGACACGGUCCAGACUCCUACGGGAGGCAGCAGUAGGGAAUCUUCCGCAAUGGGCGAAAGCCUGACGGAGCAACGCCGCGUGAGUGAAGAAGGUCUUCGGAUCGUAAAACUCUGUUAUUAGGGAAGAACAAAUGUGUAAGUAACUAUGCACGUCUUGACGGUACCUAAUCAGAAAGCCACGGCUAACUACGUG